UCAAAAUCUGUGAUAGUGAGCACUUCUCCUUUGCUGAGAUAAUCCAUCCCACCUCACAGGUGUGGCAUAUUAAGAUGCUGAAUUAGACAGCCAUGAUUGUUGCACAGAUGUGCUUUUAGACUGGCCACAAUAAAAGGCAACUCUGAAAUGUUCAGUU